rnacentral:rRNA from 1 species
GAGUUUGAUCGUGGCUCAGAUUGAACGCUGGCGGCAUGCCUUACACAUGCAAGUCGAACGGCAGCAUGAUCUAGCUUGCUAGAUUGAUGGCGAGUGGCGAACGGGUGAGUAAUACAUCGGAGCGUGCCCUGUAGUGGGGGAUAACUAGUCGAAAGAUUAGCUAAUACCGCAUACGACCUGAGGGUGAAAGUGGGGACCGCAAGGCCUCAUGCUAUAGGAGCGGCCGAUGUCUGAUUAGCUAGUUGGUGGGGUAAAGGCCCACCAAGGCGACGAUCAGUAGCUGGUCUGAGAGGACGAUCAGCCACACUGGGACUGAGACACGGCCCAGACUCCUACGGGAGGCAGCAGUGGGGAAUUUUGGACAAUGGGCGAAAGCCUGAUCCAGCAAUGCCGCGUGUGUGAAGAAGGCCU